rnacentral:rRNA from 1 species
CGGGUGAGUAAUGUCUGGGAAACUGCCCGAUGGAGGGGGAUAACUACUGGAAACGGUAGCUAAUAUCGCAUAACGUCGCAAGACCAAAGAGGGGGACCUUCGGGCCUCUUGCCAUCGGAUGUGCCCAGAUGGGAUUAGCUAGUAGGUGGGGUAAUGGCUCACCUAGGCGACGAUCCCUAGCUGGUCUGAGAGGAUGACCAGCCACACUGGAACUGAGACACGGUCCAG